AUUAAAACACUGGUUCUCGUAUGAUCACGAAAGUUAAGCAACGUCGAGGCUGGUCUGUACAUAGAUGAGUAACCGCUUGGAAAUACCAGGUAUUGUAUG